AAGGGAGACCUAAUUCAGGUAUGGGACGAAAAAAAAGUAGUCGCUACCAAGAAUCAAUCCCAAAAGGUCGGAGCGAGGUAUGAGGCUUUCAAACUAGGUUCUGGGUUCAAACAAGACCUGAAUCAGGAACAAGGGCUAUUAGCUCAGGUGGUUAGAGCGCACCCCUGAUAAGGGUGAGGUCCCUGGUUCGAGUCCAGGAUGGCCCACCUGCACAGGUGGCAAAAACAAGAGAAGCGAGGAAUCAGCACCUUAUCUUAUCUAUAUAUAAGAGAGAAUGCUGGCUCUGAGUAAAGAGUCCAGAGGAACCUUGAAAACUGCAUAGAGCUAGGUUAAAAAGCCAAAAAAGAAGACCGCAA
rnacentral:tRNA from 1 species